UUUUCAUCUCUGGAAUAGUUUCCUGCGCAAACUAUUGAUUCUAUUUUUGUGCUUUCCGGUUAUUGUUCUCUCUGUUUCACUUGUUAGGUUCUGUUCAAGGAUGGUCUCUUCCAGUGGAAAAGACUGGAGAACCUAAUAUCCCUAGCAAAGGAAAAUGUCACAAAACUGAGCAAAAAUCCUGCGUUUCAAGGGAACAAUAGCUUGUUAUAUCAGAGGAACAAGCAAAUAUUUGAAGAAUCAACAAAAAUUAGAUCUCACUGACACAAUCAAGGAUGGAGCUCGACUUUUCAUAAUUGACGAAGGAAUUCGCAGUCAGCUUGUUCUUGCUUUGACCGAAGACUCCAAGCUUCACAUUCAAGAAGUAGUUGAUGUAUAUAGAUUGCUCGAAGACCAGAUAGAUGUACCUUCAAUGGCCGUAGAUAUUACCAAUACUUCAUCUUUUUAUAUUUUCUUUAUUUAAGGCAAAAUGCUCAAUGUUGAGAAACUUUUUCUUUUAGGCCAUCAAAAUAUACUUUUUUUUUUUUAAUUAUUUAGGUUGUUUAAUGUCUGAAUAAAAUAAAUUGUUUGAAUGAAAUAUGUAGAUAUUGCUAUU